GAGGGUGGUGUAGUCACAAUGUAGAAUCCUGGGACUUCAGAUAAGUCUAUGCCCUCUGUAGCAGGGCGUUUUACAGUCUUCCAUAAACAGAUCUUGUGUUACCAGAUCAUAGCAAAGAAAGAACACUUGGCCAUGGGACACCAGGGUGAGUAGGCACCAAGUGAGCUAUCUAUGAAUAGCUCAAUUUUGUCAUACUUGUCAAGUGAUAAAAUCAGAUGUUCUCAGCAGUCCACAGUAAAACGGAGAUGGUACAUCUGAGACAGAUUUCAAGCAGGACCAGUGAGUUCAGAAGGAUGAAAGAUAUCAAGCUGCAGAUUCAAGAAGUUUUAUGAAGCAUGUUACACAGAGUGCACUGGCAACUGGCAGAUAAGAAGGGAAGAAGACUUAUUACAUAAGUUAUUUAUGGACUCUCUCAAUCAUAUUACUUAUAGGAUAAGGAUGAUUCAGAAAGUAGUCUGGGAAAUAGGAUAGCCAUAAGCUUCAAUAGACUACUUACUGUAUUAUCUCAUCUAACUCAACAGUAGUGUAGACAUUAUAGUAUUUUUUCUUCUAAGUUCCAAAUGAGAAAGAAUGAGUAAUGUUUAUUUUCUCAAGUUCACACAGUUGCAUGGACUCCAAAUGCAAUCCAUGUUUGUUUGACCUAACAGCCCUAACUCUAUUCCAUUCUGCAACAUUUCAAAUCAUGCGAACAUAUAAAUUUAUUUUUAGUCCCCCAAAA